UAAUCCUAUAACAUAAUCUAGGUCGCAAACUCUUUAUUAUCUAUAUAUUUACUAUCCAAAAUAAUUACGCUGUUAUCCCUAGAGUAUUUUUAUCAAAAAAAUCACUACUAGAUGGAACUUUUUACUAAAAAAUUUUAAAGAUUAAUAAUCUUUAAAAAUCACCCCAAUCAACUAAAAAAAUAAAUUUCUAAUAAUCUUAAAAAUAAUUAAAAAUUUCCUUUUGAAAAAAAAUUCAUAGGGGAGAAGUCUUCUUGUCUCCCAAAGUCCUACUUGAUCUGAGUUCAGACCGGG
rnacentral:rRNA from 1 species